CACGUGAGCACGCUUUGCUGAUGUGGCAGCAAAUCGUGUCCUAGAGGGCGCAAUUUGUUGCCAUGUCAACAACUCGCGCUGACGUGG
rfam:Gossypium raimondii Chr09_contig_417, whole genome shotgun sequence.